rnacentral:rRNA from 1 species
UACGUAGGUGGCAAGCGUUGUCCGGAUUUAUUGGGUUUAAAGGGUGCGUAGGCGGUUGUAUAAGUCAGUGCUGAAAUAUCCCGGCUUAACCGGGAGGGUGGCAUUGAUACUGUACGACUUGAGUAAAGUUGAGGUUGGCGGAAUUGACGGUGUAGCGGUGAAAUGCUUAGAUAUCGUCAAGAACACCUAUAGCGAAGGCAGCUUACUAGGCUGUAACUGACGCUGAGGCACGAAAGUGUGGGGAUCAAACAGG